rnacentral:rRNA from 1 species
UACGUAGGCAGCGAGCGUUGUCGUGAGUUACUGGGCGUAAAGGGUGCGUAGGCGGUUCCGCAAGUCCUGUGUGAAAUCUUCGGGCUCAACUCGAAGUCUGCACGGGAACUGCGGGGCUUGAGUGUGGGAGAGGUGAGUGGAAUUCCCAGUGUAGCGGUGAAAUGCGUAGAGAUUGGGAAGAACACCGGUGGCGAAAGCGCUCUGCUGGGCCAUAACUGACACUCAGGGACGAAAGCGUAGGGGAGCGAAUGGG